rnacentral:rRNA from 1 species
GUAAUGUGAAUUGCAGAAUUCAGUGAAUCAUCGAAUCUUUGAACGCACAUUGNNCCUGGNAGUAUUCUGCCAGGCAUGCCUGUNCGAGCGUCAUUUCACCACUCAAGACUUGCUUUAGUUUUGGUGUUGGAGGUCCUGUUCUUACCCUUCCGAACAGGCCGCCGAA